ACCGACCUAGCUCAGUCGGUAGAGCGCCAGACUCUUAAUCUGGUGGUCGUGGGUUCGACCCCCACGGUCGGUG
rfam:Galdieria sulphuraria unplaced genomic scaffold scaf_12, whole genome shotgun sequence.